rnacentral:lncRNA from 1 species
AUGGGGGGAGGGAGGAGUGUAGGGGGGAGAAGGAGAAUAAGCUAUCGACAGCCCUCCCUGCCCCCAUCCCGGGGGCAGCAGAGCUCCCACGGACCGACCCCCCCGAGCCUUCCUUCGCGCCGGAGCCAAUCCGCUCCCCGGCUCCUACCUGCUUUCGGGGUGCCCGAGCGGGCAGCAGGGGCAGGGGCCGCCGCCGAGCGCCGCCGCCGCGCCCCGGGAGCCAGGCACCCGGUGGGAAGAGGCAUCGCCCGCCGCCCACCUCAGGAGCCCGGCGGGGCGAGGCGGUGCCGCGCGGUGCUGUGCUGGCCUCGGCGGGGCGGGAAGUUUGGCCGAGCAGCGGGCGAGGAGCGGCGGAUACGCCGCUGCAGGAACGCAGGCGACUCUGCGCGGAGCGCGGCGCGGCGCGGAUCUUUUGCCGGCUGCCCCGCACGGACCGGCGCUGACGUCACGCCGGGGGCGGGGGGGACACGUUUCUCCCAGCCCCCCCCCUCUUCGCACACCCCCAGCCGCUCUCGCGGGCGGCUCCGCUUCCGGCUCGACAGCUCGCCGCGGGAGCCCUCCGGCAGUCCGAAUAGCGGGGAGCACGGCAGCGAGCGGAGGGGGCCACUCACAGACUUCUCCGGUGCAGGUGCAAAAUGAAAUACUUGAUACCAGCCUGAACCAGCUUCAGAUGGGCCGUGUUAGUCUUGUGCUUUUAUAUAUACCAGCGCAACUUUUGAUUCCUGCAUGGUGCUAGAGCCACCACUUCAUCUAUCUGCUGGCAAGAAAAAGAAUGCCAGACCAUGGCAUGGAAGCAUAAGCAGGUAAAAUUUGGCACAGAUCAUUACUCUUACUGCCUAGCAAGCAUCAUGCUGUUGUCCUUCUGUGAGAGUAAAUAUCAAGGAGCAGAGUAAGCCUGGAAAUGUGACACUCUUUUCCUUUCUCCACGUUUUAUCUGCAGAUGGAUGUUAAACGCUUCUCACAUAUCUCUGUCAGUUUAUCAGUCUCUCUUCUUGUAAAUGAAGAAAGCAAAAUCAUAUGCAUCCACCAAAAGUCUUAUGGAAUAAAGAAAAGAACAGAGCAACUGGCUAAGCA